rnacentral:rRNA from 1 species
GAUGAACGCUGGCGGCGUGCUUAACACAUGCAAGUCGAACGAAGCAAUCAGACGGAAGUUUUCGGAUGGAAGACUGGUUGACUGAGUGGCGGACGGGUGAGUAACGCGUGGGUAACCUGCCUCAUACAGGGGGAUAACAGUUAGAAAUGACUGCUAAUACCGCAUAAGCGCACAGUAUCGCAUGAUACAGUGUGAAAAACUCCGGUGGUAUGAGAUGGACCCGCGUCUGAUUAGCUAGUUGGUAAGGUAACGGCUUACCAAGGCGACGAUCAGUAGCCGACCUGAGAGGGUGACCGGCCACAUUGGGACUGAGACACGGCCCAGACUCCUACGGGAGGCAGCAGUGGGGGAUAUUGCACAAUGGGCGCAAGCCUGAUGCAGCAACGCCGCGUGAAGGAAGACGGUUUUCGGAUUGUAAACUUCUGUUCUUAGUGAAGAAGAAUGACGGUAACUAAGGAGCAAGCCACGGCUAACUACGUGCCAGCCGCCGCGGUAAAAC